GCGGCGUGCUUAACACAUGCAAGUCGAACGGAAAGGCCCUGCUUUUGUGGGGUGCUCGAGUGGCGAACGGGUGAGUAACACGUGAGUAACCUGCCCUUGACUUUGGGAUAACUUCAGGAAACUGGGGCUAAUACCGGAUAGGAGCUCCUGCUGCAUGGUGGGGGUUGGAAAGUUUCGGCGGUUGGGGAUGGACUCGCGGCUUAUCAGCUUGUUGGUGGGGUAGUGGCUUACCAAGGCUUUGACGGGUAGCCGGCCUGAGAGGGUGACCGGCCACAUUGGGACUGAGAUACGGCCCAGACUCCUACGGGAGGCAGCAGUGGGGAAUAUUGCACAAUGGGCGGAAGCCUGAUGCAGCAACGCCGCGUGCGGGAUGACGGCCUUCGGGUUGUAAACCGCUUUCGCCUGUGACGAAGCGUGAGUGACGGUAAUGGGUAAAGAAGCACCGGCUAACUACGUGCCAGCAGCCGCGGUGAUACGUAAGGUGCGAGCGUUGUCCGGAUUUAUUGGGCGUAAAGGGCUCGUAGGUGGUUGAUCGCGUCGGAAGUGUAAUCUUGGGGCUUAACCCUGAGCGUGCUUUCGAUACGGGUUGACUUGAGGAAGGUAGGGGAGAAUGGAAUUCCUGGUGGAGCGGUGGAAUGCGCAGAUAUCAGGAGGAACACCAGUGGCGAAGGCGGUUCUCUGGGCCUUUCCUGACGCUGAGGAGCGAAAGCGUGGGGAGCGAACAGGCUUAGAUACCCUGGUAGUCCCACGCUGUAAACGGUGGGUACUAGGUGUGGGGUCCAUUCCACGGGUUCCGUGCCGUAGCUAACGCUUUAAGUACCCCGCCUGGGGAGUACGGCCGCAAGGCUAAAACUCAAAGGAAUUGACGGGGCCCCGCACAAGCGGCGGAGCAUGCGGAUUAAUUCGAUGCAACGCGUAGAACCUUACCUGGGUUUGACAUGGAUCGGGAGUGCUCAGAGAUGGGUGUGCCUCUUUUGGGGUCGGUUCACAGGUGGUGCAUGCCUGUCGUCAGCUCGUGUCGUGAGAUGUUGGGUUAAGUCCCGCAACGAGCGCAACCCUUGUUCACUGUUGCCAGCACGUUAUGGUGGGGACUCAGUGGAGACCGCCGGGGUCAACUCGGAGGAAGGUGGGGAUGACGUCAAGUCCUCAUGCCCCUUAUGUCCAGGGCUUCACGCAUGCUACAAUGGCUGGUACAGAGAGUGGCGAGCCUGUGAGGGUGAGCGAAUCUCGGAAAGCCGGUCUCAGUUCGGAUUGGGGUCUGCAACUCGACCUCAUGAAGUCGGAGUCGCUAGUAAUCGCAGAUCAGCAACGCUGCGGUGAAUACGUUCCCGGGGCUUGUACACACCGCCCGUCAAGUCAUGAAAGUUGGUAACACCCGAAGCCGGUGGCCUAACCGUUGUGGGGGAGCCGUCGAAGGUGGGACUGGUGAUUAGG
rnacentral:rRNA from 1 species